UACGGAGGGGGCAAGCGUUAUCCGGAAUUAUUGGGCGUAAAGAGCUCGUAGGCAGUUUGUCGCGUCUGCCGUGAAAGUCCGGGGCUCAACUCCGGAUCUGCGGUGGGUACGGGCAGACUAGAGUGAUGUAGGGGAGACUGGAAUUCCUGGUGUAGCGGUGAAAUGCGCAGAUAUCGGGAGGAACACCAGUACGCGAAGGCG
rnacentral:rRNA from 1 species